rnacentral:rRNA from 1 species
GACGAACGCUGGCGGCGUGCUUAACACAUGCAAGUCGAACGGAAAGGCCCUGCUUUUGUGGGGUGCUCGAGUGGCGAACGGGUGAGUAACACGUGAGUAACCUGCCCUUGACUUUGGGGUAAAUUCAGGAAACUGGGGCUAAUACCGGAUAGGAGCUCCUGAUGCAUGGGGGGGGAUGGAAAGUUUCGGCGGUUUGGGAUGGUCUCGCGGGUUAUCAGCUUGAUGGUGGGGUAGUGGCUUACCACGGCUUUGACGGGUAGCCGGCCUUGGAGGGUGGCCGGCCACAUUGGGACUGCGGUACGGCCCAGUCUCCUACGUGCGGCAGCAGUGGGGAAUAUUGCACAACGGGCGGAAGCCUGAUGUAGCAGCGCCGCGUGCGGGAUGCCGGCCUUCGGGUUGUAAACCGCUUUCGCCUGUGACGAAGCGUGAGUGACGGUAAUGGGUAAAGAAGCACCGGCUAACUACGUG